UCGUAACAAGGUUUCCGUAGGUGAACCUGCGGAAGGAUCAUUGUCGAAACCUGCACAAGCAGAAAGACCGGCGCACUUGUAUGAAAACCCCGAGGUGCAGAGCUAGUCUAUGCACCUCAAUAUAACGAACCCCGGCGCGGAUUGCGCCAAGGAAUAUGAACAAUAGCGUGUUGCUAGCCACUCGGUCUACCGACGUGCUCGCAACAUCGUGUCGUUUUGAUACUAAAAGAAUGACUCUCGGCAACGGAUAUCUCGGCUCUCGCAUCGAUGAAGAACGUAGCGAAAUGCGAUACUUGGUGUGAAUUGCAGAAUCCCGUGAACCAUCGAGUCUUUGAACGCAAGUUGCGCCCGAAGCCUUCGGGCCAAGGGCACGUCUGCCUGGGCGUCACACAUUGCGUCGCCCCAACCUCAAACACGAGGAUAUGGGGCGGACUAUGGCCCCCCGUGUGCUUCUCGCUCGCGGUCGGCCUAAAUGCAGUCCCCUGUGUAUGCGAAUUCGCGACGGUUGGUGGUGUUCUUUAUGGCCCCGUGCCUCUAAGCAUCGCGUUGCGUAUUUUGUGUUCAUUGGUUGUCAUAGGACCCAUGAGAGGGAACACCUCUACACCCUUGAGACCCCAGGUCAGGCGGGACUACCCGCUGAGUUUAAGCAUAUC
rnacentral:rRNA from 1 species